AUGGUUAGAUUUGGUUCAAUUAUAUAGUUUAAUCAUGGGCUGCUAUGUAGCUGCUGUCAAAGGAUGGCUUCUUGGAGUCUUUGGCUAGUAUGAUCUUGACUUCCUAUGGCUUUUCAUACGUUCUGUGAUUGGCUUCUCUUCUAUCUAGUUUAGAUCUCUACACAAGCCACCAUAGGUUUUUAAAACUUUGUUUCACUUGUUACAAUUUCUCGAUUCGUUUUUAAAACUUUGUUUCACUUGUUACAAUUUCUCGAUUCUUUUUUUUUUUAUGAUUUCUUCUUCUCAAUUUCUGCGUGCUUAUUAUUCUAAAUAGUGAGAAUGCUAUGGACUGGAGA
rnacentral:lncRNA from 1 species